UUGUGGAGGAGGACGCCGAAGGUGGGGCUGAUGACUGGGGUGAAGUCGUAACAAGGUAGCCGUACNGNAAGGUGCGGCUGGAUCACCUCCUAACAGGGAGACAACAACUGAUCGUGAUGUCUAAGUGUUUUAUUCUUAGGCCAUGAUCCUGUCACCUUAGGUCGAUCGGUACCUCAAUUUUAUUGUCUAAUAAUUAUUGAAUAAUCAGUAAUUAGCAGUUCAAUUCAGUUCCUAAACUUGUCUAGGUCACACCCCGCAAGGGUAUUCCUGGGCCAUUAGCUCAGGUGGUUAGAGCGCACCCCUGAUAAGGGUGAGGUCCCUGGUUCAAGUCCAGGAUGGCCCAUUCGGUGUUGGGGGUAUAGCUCAGUUGGUAGAGCGCCUGCUUUGCAAGCAGGAUGUCAGCGGUUCGAGUCCGCUUACCUCCACUGAUCAACCCUUGAAGACGAAAUCAGGAGAUUUCCUUUGGUGAUGUGAUUUAGAUAUAUGUCCUCUGAAUGAACCUAGCUUCUUAUCAUUCUUUUUCUAAAUAAACAUUUUAGAUAUAGCUGAUAUGACGCUGGGCUCACUGCAAUCAUUAAUUGAUUGCAGAUAAGUUCAGUAGAACCUUGACAACUGCAUAGAUUAAGUCUGGAAAAAAAAGCAUCUCAUGGAUGCAUUUUUCUUGAUUAAAAUAAGAGAUAUUGUUUUUACGGUAUUACUUAUUUGAUUUCAAGUAAGAAUGUUUAAUUCUUGAGUAAGAGCAGAGAAUCUUUGGUUUUUUUAUUAAAACUGAGGAGGAUUAUGGUCAAGCUACAA
rnacentral:misc_RNA from 1 species